rnacentral:misc_RNA from 1 species
CGCACAUUGCGCCCCUUGGUAUUCCGGGGGGCAUGCCUGUUCGAGCGUCAUUAUCACCCCUCAAGCUCAGCUUGGUGUUGGGGCCUGCCCGUCACAGGGCAGCCCCUAAAAGCAGUGGCGGCGCCAUCUGGCUCUACGCGUAGUAAUGCACCUCGCGAUGGAGUCCCGGUGGUGUCCUGCCAGAACCCCAAAUCUUUCAAUGAUUGACCUCGGAUCAGGUAGGGAUACCCGCUGAACUUAA